UGGGAAGAUUUACACAUCUCAGCCUCUCUGUCUACCUACCCCAUCCAAUCGUCCUUCCAUAUCUUCCCAAGCCAUGGUUCAGUGAAACCCAAGAAGCUUCCCAGUUGCCAUGGAAAUGCCAAGGAUACAUCUAAUAGGAAGUGGUGAAACUUGAACAGGAACAAGGAAGGGGUGUCCCCCAAUGAUUAUACAAGACCAUUUGCUGUCUGCAGCAAACUGACAUUGGAGCAUCAGUGGAUGGGGCGUGCAGAGAGAGCUCACAGGAGUGCUUAACUGCUCAUCUUUCGAGAGAUCUAAAGAGUAGAAGUGGUGGACCCCAGCCCCCAGGAAACGAGCCUGGUUCAAUAGAAGAGGUUCAGAAGAUUUCUGUUCCACUCUCAUUCCUGGAACCCCACCGAAAAACAACCAGAAAGAUCCAAUAUUGUUUUAAUUGUUGAAGCAAAGAAACUGCCAAAAACCUCCAUGCAACAUAUUACUCAUUAUGUC
rnacentral:lncRNA from 1 species